AGUGAACGCUGGCGGCGUGCCUAAUACAUGCAAGUCGAACGGAGUGGCGCACGGGUGAGUAAUGUAUAGCUAAUCUGCCCUACACUAGAGGACAACAGUUGGAAAAGGCUGCUAAUACUCUAUAGUGGAGGUUGAGGCUAUAUUGUAUCAGCUAGUUGGUGAGGUAAUGGCGCACCAAGGCUAUGACGCAUAACUGGUCGGCGAGGAUGAUCAGUCACACGGGAACGGAGACACGGUCGAGAAUCCUACGGGAGGCAGCAGUAGGGAAUAUUGCUCAAGGGGGGAAACCCUGAAGCAGCAACGCCGCGUGGAGUAUGACACGUUUCGGAGCGUAAACUCCUUUUGUUAGCGAAGCGGUACCUAACGAAUAAGCACCGGCUAACUCCGUGCCAGCCGCCGCGGUAAUAC
rnacentral:rRNA from 1 species